AUUGAACGCUGGCGGCAGGCCUAACACAUGCAAGUCGAGCGAGCGGCGGACGGGUGAGUAAUGUAUGGGGACUGCCCGCUAGUGGGGGAUAACUACUGGAAACGGGAGCUAAUACCGCAUACUAUCGCAUAACUCAUAUGGGAUUAGCUAGUAGGGGCGGUAAUGGCUCACCUAGGCGAGGAUCCCUAGCUGGUCUGCGAGGAGGAUCAGCCACACUGUGACUGAGAGACGGCGCAGAGUCCUACGGAGGCAGCAGUGGAGAAUAUUGCACGAUGGGCGUAAGCCUGAUGCAGCCAUGCCGCGUGUAUGAAGAAGGCCCUAGGGUUGUAAAGUACUUUCAGUCGGGAGGCGUUACCGACAGAAGAAGCACCGGCUAACUCCGUGCCAGCAGCCGCGGUAAUAC
rnacentral:rRNA from 1 species